AGGACGAACGCUGGCGGCGUGCUUAACACAUGCAAGUCGAGCGGAAAGGCCUUUCGGGGUACUCGAGCGGCGAACGGGUGAGUAACACGUGAGUAAUCUGCCCAUCGCUUCAGGAUAGCCAUCGGAAACGGUGAUUAAUACUGGAUAUGACAUUCCUUCGCAUGUUGGGGUGUGGUAAAGUUUUUUCGGCGGUGGAUGUGCUCGCGGCCUAUCAGCUUGUUGGUGGGGUAAUGGCCUACCAAGGUCUUUGACGGGUAGCCGGCCUGAGAGGGU
rnacentral:rRNA from 1 species